rnacentral:lncRNA from 1 species
AAAGUUUAUGCAGCAAUAUAGGAACAAUUUUUUUUUUUUUGGAUUUUCGGAUAGGGAUAACUAAAUUGCAGCAGCAGUAAGGUAGGAAACCUGAACCUGUUACAAUUCACGGGAUGAUCCGCGGUGGAGGAGAUGAUGGCGGAAUUUGGCAACGAUCUUUUAAGCAAUUGUGGGAAUUGCUUUGGGCGGCUGAGGAGGGCUGAUGGAUGGCUAUGGAAGGGCAGCGAGAUGCUAAG